rnacentral:rRNA from 1 species
AGAGUUUGAUCAUGGCUCAGGAUGAACACUAGCGGCAGGCUUAAUACAUGCAAGUCGUGGGGCAGCAUGGUGUAGCAAUACACUGAUGGCGACCGGCAAACGGGUGCGGAACACGUACGCAACCUUCCUUUAACUGGAGAAUAGCCCGGCGAAAGCCGGAUUAAUACUCCGUAACAUUAUGAAGUGGCAUCACUUUAUAAUUAUAGCUCCGGCGGUUAAAGAUGGGCGUGCGUCUGAUUAGGUAGUUGGCGGGGUAACGGCCCACCAAGCCUACGAUCAGUAACUGGUGUGAGAGCACGACCAGUCACACGGGCACUGAGACACGGGCCCGACUCCUACGGGAGGCAGCAGUAAGGAAUAUUGGUCAAUGGACGCAAGUCUGAACCAGCCAUGCCGCGUGAAGGAUGAAGGUCCUCUGGAUUGUAAACUUCUUUUAUUUGGGAAGAAACCCAAGAUUUCUAUUUUGGUUGACGGUACCAGAUGAAUAAGCACCGGCUAACUCCGUGCCAGCAGCCGCGGUAAUACGGAGGGUGCAAGCGUUAUCCGGAUUCACUGGGUUUAAAGGGUGCGUAGGUGGGAUGGUAAGUCAGUGGUGAAAUCUCCAAGCUUAACUUGGAAACUGCCGUUGAUACUAUCAUUCUUGAAUCUCGUGGAGGUAAGCGGAAUAUGUCAUGUAGCGGUGAAAUGCUUAGAUAUGACAUAGAACACCGAUAGCGAAGGCAGCUUGCUACACGAGUAUUGACACUGAGGCACGAAAGCGUGGGGAUCAAACAGGAUUAGAUACCCUAGUAGUCC